AUAGUAUCAAGUAGGCAGCGAUGCCAUUAGUAAUAGAAUAUAAAUUCUCUAUAUUUUCAUAAAAUUUUAAAAACAACAUUGGUUGUGCUCCAACCGGCCGCAAUUCCAAUUUGCCCAAUCAAUCUAACCGCAAGCAUUGCCGUAGUGUUCAAGGGUUUAAUUUCAAUUUAAAAUGAGUAAGCCGGGCUGUCCAUGCAAAAGCAAACAGCAAACUAGCGAGGCAUGUCGAAUUUGUGGAACUAAGGGCGGAGCUGGGGAUGGACCUGGUGGCAAAGGAGGUCGCUGCGCUCCAGGUUCUGGUGGUCCAGAUGGGGCUGGCAAAGAUCCUAGCAAAUUAGGCGAUGGAAAAAAUGGAAAAGAUGGAAAAGGAAAGGGACCUUUUAUAAGUGCCAACACCUUGUCUUUGGCAAAGGCUGUGGCACUAUUCGCCUUCGGCUGUUACCUUACCUUGAAAAUGAAUGCAGUUGCUAAUGUUAUUGGCUAACUCUUCAUAUAUUUUCUUUUGAGUUUUAGUUUAGAACGCAAGCAAGGAACUCAUGCAAUUGUUAACCCUUCACGGAUAUUAAAAAUUGUAGCAA